rnacentral:rRNA from 1 species
UUUAAUGGAGAGUUUGAUCCUGGCUCAGGACGAACGCUGGCGGCGUGCCUAAUACAUGCAAGUCGAGCGGGGUUGUUUAGAAGCUUGCUUCUAAAUAACCUAGCGGCGGACGGGUGAGUAACACGUAGGCAACCUGCCCACAAGACAGGGAUAACUACCGGAAACGGUAGC